rnacentral:lncRNA from 1 species
GGAAGCCCUGACUCCAGGCCUUUUCCAUAGGGAUGUGAUUUGCUUUUAAGAGCCAGACGGAUGCUACAAAUCUUUCUUCCCAAGAAAAAAACAUUCUGAGAUUCCUCUCAACAAUUGAACACACCCCAGCUAGGCUGCUGGAGGAAUGUAAGGGACAUGUAAACAGAAUCAGCCACUGACAGCCAAUCAACCCGACAUGCAGGAAAGA